UACGGAGGGUGCAAACGUUGCUCGGAAUCAUUGGGCGUAAAGCGCACGUAGGCGGCCUGUUAAGUCGGGUGUGAAAGCCCUGGGCUCAACCCAGGAAGUGCACUCGAAACUGGCGGGCUUGAAUAUGGAAGAGGGUCGCGGAAUUCCCGGUGUAGAGGUGAAAUUCGUAGAUAUCGGGAGGAAUACCAGUGGCGAAGGCGGCGACCUGGGCCAAUACUGACGCUGAGGUGCGAAAGCGUGGGGAGCAAACAGG
rnacentral:rRNA from 1 species